rnacentral:lncRNA from 1 species
CCACAAUAUUGAAUGGAACCCAUGCAGUCCAGUAGUUAGCACAUUUAUGUUCUCAUAACAUGCCAUUAAUAUAUUCCUUUUCUUUUUAUUUAAUGAAGAUUUGUUUAACCUCUAGACAAAGAAAAGUUAGGACGUAAUUUAUAAAAAAAAGUUUACGAAAAACGAAUAUCACUAAUAUGACAGAUAUGAAACAACGACAACCCCCGAAAAAGACAUCCUGACUUGGGCAGGAAAAAACAGAUAGUGUCGUUUUUAAACAUGGGUGUGAGCAAGCAAACACACCGCUAACCUGGACAGUGGUAUAACAGCACAACAUAAAAAUAUGUUGCAUUAGUGAAAAAAGAUCAGUACCAGACACAUAAACAGGUAAUAUAAAAUAAACACAAAACGCCGA